rnacentral:lncRNA from 1 species
CCGGCCUGCAUCCCCUCCCCCUCCGCCCCGCAGCCGGCCCGCACCCAUCGGCCCCGCAGCGGGCCGCGGCGGCGGGGGCGGGGCGGGCCAGGCCGGGGGAGCCUCACGGCGCCUGCGGGUCUUUAUUCGUGCAGGACUCGGCGGCGCGCCCCCAGCCCCAGCCCCAGCCCCAGCCCCAGCCCCAGCCCCCAGCCCCCAGCGUCGGCGGAGGGGCGGGAGGGGCGGGCGGGGCGGGCGGGGCGGGCGGGCGCGAGCGAGCGCGGCGCGGCGGGCCGCCCCCUCCCCGUCGCCCUCCCCUCCCCUCCCCCGUCCGCGGCGCCCCUCCCCCUCCGCUCCCGGCCCCGCCGGCCCCUCCCCCGCGCGCCCGCCCGGCGCAGGCCGCUCGGGUUUGUUUUGCUGAGCGGCCGCCGCCGCCGGGGCCUCGCGAGCUCAUUUGUGCCUGGCUGGUCCCCGCCCGCUCCGCGGGGCCGAGCGCCGGGCCGUGGGCUGCUCCGAGCCGUUGGGCUCUCUCCCUCGGUGACGGCGCCCACCCUCGCCCGGCUCCCCGCGCCCCCGCCCGCGCCCGCGCCCGCGCCCCGCGCCCCGCCCCUCCCCCGCGGCGGGAGCCCCCGCCCCGCCCCCCCGGCCCCGCGCCCCCGCCCGCGCCCCCGCCCGCCCGCGCCCGCCGGGGCUCGCAGCGCCGCGCACCCCGAGGGGUUAUUUUGGGGGCGGCUGGCGGCGGCGGCGGCGGCCAGGAGGGGACUUUCCGUGCGCCUCGGUUCCCGGGAGGGGGAGCGGCGUCGGAGGCCGGCGUCCCAGGUAAGCGCGGGGGCGGGCGGGCGGGCGGGGGGGCGCGGGGAGGGGAGGGGGCGGGGAGGGGCGCGCGCGGCCCGGGAGCCCCCUCCCCCGCCGGCCGGAGCGACCCCGGGGCCCGCGCCCCGCCCCGCGCCCGCCCCCGCCGGCCUGGGGGUCCCCGGCCGCCCGCGCCCCUCCCCCGCGCACGGACCCCUCCUGCGCGUGUGCGUGUGCGUGUGCGCGUGUGUGCGCGUGUGUGAGUGUGUGUGCGGGGCGCGGCGCGGGCGCGGGGCGGCGGGGGAGGCCUUCGGGGAGCCUGUGCGGCAGAGCCGGUGCGGGAGCCAUCAUGAGGCCGACUCCCGGGAGCCUAUUUUUAGCCGAGGAGGGAGCUCUCGGGUGCACGUUCCUCGGUUCGCAGGGGCGCUGUGCCGGCGGCCGCGGGCGCGGGGGGAGGGCGCGGGGGGAGGGGGCGGGGGAGGGGCGGGAGGGCGCGCCCGGGGCGCGGGGGGAGGGCGGGGGCGGGGGCGGGGGCGGGCGCGGGGCCGCGUGCGUGCAGCGGGCGCCGGGGCUGGCGCGAGGAGGCGAGGCCGGGCCGGGCCGGGCCGGGCCGGGAAGUUGGGCUGGGAGCGCGGCCCCGGCGAAGUUGCGGCGGCCCCGGUGAGCGUCGGGCGGCGGGUCCUCGGGACGCGCUGGGGAACUUCCUCCUCGCGGCCCGCGCGUUUCCUUCCUUCCUGGCGUUCGGGCCCCGGCGGACUUUGUGACUGA